rnacentral:misc_RNA from 1 species
UCUCCCUGACCCUGAGCACUAAACCUCGAUGACUGCUGACCAAACUUCACAUCCUCAUCGAACCAAUCAUUGCUCAAUAACGCAUUGGGCAUCGAACGUGACAUUCUAUAAUUGCGAAGGACACUUUUAUCGUCCAACGACCUCGAUGCACUCUGGCUCCGCAUUUUUCUCUCCACAGCCACCUCUCCAUCCGACCCGUAAGCUUCAUCGUUAUAUCUACUCGCCUCCUCAUUUUCCUC